rnacentral:rRNA from 1 species
AUUGAACGCUGGCGGCAUGCUUUACACAUGCGAGUCGAACGGUAACAGGGUGCUUGCACCGCUGACGAGUGGCGAACGGGUGAGUAAUGCGUCGGAACGUGCCGAGUAGGGGGGGAUGACGCAGCGAAAGUUGUGCUAAUACCGCAUACGUACUGAGGUAGAAAGUGGGGGACCUUCGGGCCUCACGCUAUUCGAGCGGCCGACGUCUGAUUAGCUAGUAGGUGAGGUAAAGGCUCACCUAGGCGACGAUCAGUAGCGGGUCUGAGAGGAUGAUCCGCCACACUGGGACUGAGACACGGCCCAGACUCCUACGGGAGGCAGCAGUGGGGAAUUUUGGACAAUGGGCGAAAGCCUGAUCCAGCCAUGCCGCGUGUCUGAAGAAGGCCUUCGGGUUGUAAAGGACUUUUGUCGGGGAGGAAAUCCCCAGCGCUAAUACCGCUGGGGGAUGACAGUACCUGAAGAAUAAGCACCGGCUAACUACGUGCCAGCCGCCGCAGUAACAC